rnacentral:rRNA from 1 species
CCUACGGGAGGCAGCAGUGAGGAAUAUUGGUCAAUGGUCGAGAGGCUGAACCAGCCAAGUCGCGUGAGGGAAGACGGCCCUACGGGUUGUAAACCUCUUUUGUCGGGGAGCAAAGAGAGUCACGUGUGCAGUAUUGAAAGUACCCGAAGAAAAAGCAUCGGCUAACUCCGUGCCAGCAGCCGCGGUAAUACUGAGGAUGCGAGCGUUAUCCGGAUUUAUUGGGUUUAAAGGGAGCGCAGGCGGAUGUGCAAGUCAGCGGUCAAAUGACGGGGCUCAACCCGGUACUGCUGUGGAAACUGGAUGCCUUGAGGGCGCGAGAGGUAUGCGGAAUGCGUGGGGUAGCGGUGAAAUGCUUAGAUAUCACGCAGAACUCCGAUGGCGAAGGCAGCAUACCGGCGCGCAACUGACGCUGAUGCACGAAAGCGUGGGUAUCGAACAGGAUUAGAUACCCUUGUAGUC